rnacentral:rRNA from 1 species
GAACGCUGGCGGCGUGCUUAACACAUGCAAGUUGAACGGUAUGACAUGGAAGCUUGCUGAAGUGUCAUAUAGUAGCGGACGGGUGAGUAAUGCAUGAGAAGCUGCCAUUGGGAGGGGGACAACAGUUGGAAACGGCUGCUAAUACCCCCGUAUGCCGGAGGGUGAAAGGGAGUAAUCCGCCCGAUGAGGUGCUCAUGUCCUAUCAGCUGGUUGGUGGGGUAACGGCCUACCAAGGCGACGACGGGUAGCCGGCCUGAGAGGGUGAACGGCCACACUGGAACUGAGAUACGGUCCAGACUCCUACGGGAGGCAGCAGUGGGGAAUAAUUGGGCAAUGGGGGCAACCCUGACCCAGCGACGCCGCGUGGGGGAAGACGGCCUUCGGGUUGUAAACCUCUUUUGUACGGGAAGAAGGAAGUGACGGUACUGUACGAAUAAGUCCCGGCUAACUACGUGCCAGCCGCCGC